AUGCGAAUAUUCUCGCUGUCCUGAUAUUUCUGUGAUCAGGGGAGGCUAGACAUUCGCUAGAGUAAAACUGCAUUGUGUCCUCCAGGACUAGAUUAUUGUUCUAGUCCUGGCUUUUUAAAUGCUGGUGACAGGG
rnacentral:snoRNA from 1 species